rnacentral:tmRNA from 1 species
GGGGGCGUAAAGGUUUCGACAGGGAUUUUGAAGUACCGGAAGCGAGCAGCGGUGCGGAACCGCUCUAAAAUCCGCAAACAAAAUUAACUAACAACAAUAAAGUUGCCUUAGCAGCCUAAUUUAGGCUGCUCAUCCGACCCGGAAGCACCACGGUCCGGCAAGGGUGUCAUUUUAAGUGGUGAACGUGAACGGCGGUGCGCUCCUGCCGCCGUCACGGCUUCGGAGCUACUGAACACGGAAGUCUGACAUUUGACGUCCGCGGAAGGGAAUGCAAAGAAAUGUCUGCGCUCGGAGACGCCGGUACGGAUAAAUUUUUGGACAGGAGUUCGACUCUCCUCGCCUCCACCA